CGCCUCUUGCGCCCCAUAAGAGGUCUAGCCUGCCCAGUGACUCUAUUCAACGGCCGCGGUAUAUUAACCGUGCAAAGGUAGCAUAAUCAUUUGUCUCUUAAAUAGGGACCUGUAUGAACGGCAUCACGAAGAUUUUACUGUCUCCCCCCACCAAUCUGUGAAACUAAUCCCCCUGUGAAAAAGCAGGAAUACAAAUACAAGACGAGAAGACCCUGUGGAGCUUAAAACUAGUAAUACUUGCUAGUCCUCCUAAAACAUCUCCACUUAGCAUUGUACUUACACCUUUUCGGUUGGGGUAACCUCGGAGAAAAAUCAAACCUCCACGCUGUUUAUAUUUCAGAACCUCAAUUCUAUAAAUCAUCAAAUUGACACAUUGACCCAUACACUUGAUCAACGAACUAAGUUACCCCAGGGAUAACAGCGCCAUCCACUUCGAGAGCACGUAUCGACAGGUGGGCUUACGACCUCGAUGUUGGAUCAGGAUUCCCCAGUGGUGCAGCCGCUACUAAAGGUUUGUUUGUUCAACAAUUAAAAUCC
rnacentral:rRNA from 1 species